AGCGGCAGACGGGAGAGUAACACGUGGGAACGCGCCCUUUGGUUCGGAAUAACUCAGGGAAACUUGAGCUAAUACCGGAUAAGCCCUUACGGGGAAAGAUUUAUCGCCAAAGGAACGGCCCGCGUCCGAUUAGCUAGUUGGUGAGGUAACGGCUCACCAAGGCGACGAUCGGUAGCUGGUCUGAGAGGAUGACCAGCCUCACUGGGACUGAGACACGGCCCAGACUCCUACGGGAGGCAGCAGUGGGGAAUAUUGGACAAUGGGCGCAAGCCUGAUCCAGCCAUGCCGCGUGAGUGAUGAAGGCCUUAGGGUUGUAAAGCUCUUUUAGCAGGGAAGAUAAUGACGGUACCUGCAGAAAAAGACCCGGCUAACUUCGUGCCAGCAGCCGCGGUAAUACGAAGGGGGCUAGCGUUGCUCGGAAUUACUGGGCGUAAAGCGCACGUAGGCGGCUUCUUAAGUCGGUGGUGAAAUCCUGGAGCUCAACUCCAGAACUGCCUUCGAUACUGGGAAGCUCGAGUUCGGGAGAGGUGAGUGGAACUGCGAGUGUAGAGGUGAAAUUCGUAGAUAUUCGCAAGAACACCAGUGGCGAAGGCG
rnacentral:rRNA from 1 species